rnacentral:rRNA from 1 species
UACGUAGGGUGCGAGCGUUAAUCGGAAUUACUGGGCGUAAAGCGUGCGCAGGCGGUUUUACAAGCUGGAUGUGAAAGCCCCGGGCUCAACCUGGGAGGUGCAUUCAGGACUGUGAAGCUCGAGUGCGGCAGAGGGAGGUGGAAUUCCAGGUGUAGCAGUGAAAUGCGUAGAGAUCUGGAGGAACACCGAUGGCGAAGGCAGCCUCCUGGGCCGACACUGACGCUCAUGCACGAAAGCGUGGGGAGCAAACAGG